CCUACGGGUGGCAGCAGUGGGGAAUAUUGCACAAUGGGCGCAAGCCUGAUACAGCCAUGCCGCGUGUGUGAAGAAGGCCUUCGGGUUGUAAAGCACUUUCAGUGGGGAGGAAGGCGGUGAGGUUAAUAACCUUAUCGAUUGACGUUACCCGCAGAAGAAGCACCGGCUAACUCCGUGCCAGCAGCCGCGGUAAUACGGAGGGUGCAAGCGUUAAUCGGAAUUACUGGGCGUAAAGCGCACGCAGGCGGUCUGUCAAGUCGGAUGUGAAAUCCCCGGGCUCAACCUGGGAACUGCAUUCGAAACUGGCAGGCUAGAGUCUUGUAGAGGGGGGUAGAAUUCCAGGUGUAGCGGUGUAAUGCGUAGAGAUCUGGAGGAAUACCGGUGGCGAAGGCGGCCCCCUGGACAAAGACUGACGCUCAGGUGCGAAAGCGUGGGGAGCAAACAGGAUUAGAUACCCCGGUAGUC
rnacentral:rRNA from 1 species